UGGGGAAUAUUGCACAAUGGGCGCAAGCCUGAUGCAGCCAUGCCGCGUGUAUGAAGAAGGCCUUCGGGUUGUAAAGUACUUUCAGUCGGGAGGAAGGUGGUAAGGUUAAUAACCUUAUCAAUUGACGUUACCGACAGAAGAAGCACCGGCUAACUCCGUGCCAGCAGCCGCGGUAAUACGGAGGGUGCAAGCAUUAAUCGGAAUUACUGGGCGUAAAGCGCACGCAGGCGGUUUGUUAAGUCAGAUGUGAAAUCCCCGGGCUCAACCUGGGAACUGCAUCUGAUACUGGCAAGCUUGAGGCUCGUAGAGGGGGGUAGAAUUCCAGGUGUAGCGGUGAAAUGCGUAGAGAUCUGGAGGAAUACCGGUGGCGAAGGCGGCCCCCUGGACGAAGACUGACGCUCAGGUGCGAAAGCGUGGGGAGCAAACAGG
rnacentral:rRNA from 1 species